UAGAGGAAGUAAAAGUCGUAACAAGGUUUCCGUAGGUGAACCUGCGGAAGGAUCAUUAAAAGACGAGCGGGUAACCGCGAAGUCCAUAACCCCUUUGUCUACUUAUAUUGUUGCUUCAGCGGGCCGCUGGCCUCGUCAGCGCCGGCUUCGGCCGGACCGUGCCCGCUAGAGGACUCCAAACUCUGAAUGUUAGUGUCGUCUGAGUACUAUAUAAUAGUUAAAACUUUCAACAACGGAUCUCUUGGUUCUGGCAUCGAUGAAGAACGCAGCGAAAUGCGAUAAGUAAUGUGAAUUGCAGAAUUCAGUGAAUCAUCGAAUCUUUGAACGCACAUUGCGCCCCGUGGUAUUCCGCGGGGCAUGCCUGUUCGAGCGUCAUUAUCACCACUCCAGCCUGGCUGGGUCUUGGGCACCGCCGGUAGGCGGGCCUUAAACGUAGUGGCGGUGCUGCCAGGCUCUAAGCGUAGUAAUUCUCUCGCUAUAGGGUCCUGGGAGAGGCUGGCCAUAACCCCCAAUUUUUACAGGUUGACCUCGGAUCAGGUAGGGAUACCCGCUGAACUUAAGCAUAUCAAUAAGCGGAGGA
rnacentral:rRNA from 1 species